rnacentral:lncRNA from 1 species
GGUAUCAUCGCAUGAAUACGUAGUUACAACAUCGCCUGAACUCGUAAUUCAUAGUAAGGGGUUAGGGUAUCAUCGCAUGAAUACGUAGUUACAACAUCGCCUGAACUCGUAAUUCAUCACCUACAGGUUAUGAGCCUGCUGGUGUUUCCACGGGGUUGUCUAUAUUAGUCCGUGGUCGCCAUCUAUACUCUGGUAGAUGACUACAUCUCCAAAUUGUCGGACAAGGUUGUAGUAUUCCACUUCACCGAUUCAUCAUCACCUAUCUAUCCUCACCUAAUUAUCAACACCUAUUUCUCAUUAUUUUAUUUCAUCUCACACCAACUAUUUCAUCUACCCGUGUGUUAUCCCAACAUAUUAGUAGAUAUAAAUAUACAGUUUAAAUCAUUUAAAACAUGUAUAAAACGUUCAUCCAGCAUAGACAGCAAGUAUUCAGAUAAUAUGCACACAUAGCACGUAGUUUAUAUAAAAUACUUCAUAUCUAUGUGUAAGAUGAAAGGGACUAUGCACUCACAUGAAAGGUGGUGACUCAGCACUCGGACAGCACUUCGAUACUCUCAAAACGAUUUUCCUUCAAUAAAACCUAGUACCAAUAUCACUAGGGUUUAGUCUAACGAUAACCGCGACAAAUUAAUUAGUCUGACUAUUAUUAAGCGUUAAUAACACUCAAUAUAACUCAUAAUAAUAGCCCAAAUAAUUAUUGUAAGGACCUAAUAACAUUCCUAUAAUUAUAUGAAAGCUAUAUUAAAAAUUGAGUAAGCGUAGCACACUUACAGCGAAUUUUAUCGAAACCCGGAACUUAAUUGGAGUAGCGUUUCGAAACCGAAAGGCUCUUUUUCUCGGGACUCCGAGAGCCUCGGGGCUUCCCUCGGGAGCUAGGGGUUUUAUCUAGGGCUUAGGGAUGGUUUGGGAUCUUAGAGAGAGAAUGAAACCAGAGAGAGAAAGGAUUUUGGUGCAUGAAACUCGGCAGCCUUCGCUGCCUUUUAUAGGCGCUCAGCUUCAGUUAUGCUGGGCGUUCGGACUCAGCUACGCUGGGCGUAAUGCUCAGAUAAGGGUGCCAACGAGCCUCUAGUUGUCUCGCAUUCGGAAGGGAUAAGAACCGAAGUAUGAUGGGCGUACCCGGCCUCGGACGCGGGGCGUAGAUGCGAGGCGACGUGUCAAGAUCCGAAGCGAAGCCUUGGUCAGCAAGCAAUGGUUGAGAUUUGGCCACGUCAUCUCAGUUCGCAAUUUUCCUUCUCGACUUCUAAAAAUCAUAACUUUCGCAUACGGGCUCCUUUUUCGACGUUCUUUAUAUCCACGCGAAGGUGGGAACAUACUCUACAACUUCCGUUUAGACUCCAUCGGCUAAUUUUGACUCAAUUUUAAAUUUUAUAUUAUGAACAGGCCGGGACACGAUUGGUCCGUUAAAUUCUCAUAACUUCUUCAUCUGACGUCCGUUUUCGCCCAUCUUUUUCUUGUUAUGCUACCCUUAACGAGAUCUUCGAUUCUCGUUUAGGUCAUGUUGGCUAAAAAUCGCUCGAUCUAAUAUUCGAAUUUCGGGUUCUACACUGCUAAUCCGAAACUUCGAAAAAUCAUAACUUCUUCAUACGAAGUCAGAUUUGGACGUUCUUUUUAUCGAUGUUCUUAGUUUAAUGUAUUCUACGACUUUCGUUUAGAUCGCUAAGGCUAAAUUUCACUCUAUCAUAAAUUCACUAUUUACGCUUCCCGGUGUCGUGUCUAUUCCGUCGCGAAACUUCGACGGGUCAUAACUUCUUCGUUAUAACUCGGAUUUUGGCAUUCUUUAUAUGUACGGAAAUCUUGUGACAUAUUCUACAACUUGGUUCUAAAUAAUCUUUUGUCUAUAAGUUGUUUUCGACCCCUAUUGCCUCUAAAUUGACUAGCCCGGAUCUGUGGGCGUUACAAUUAUCUCCCCCUUAGGAUGAUUACGUCCCGGAAUCAUCAACGAAACAGGGCUCGUAUAAUGACUCCAUACGUCAUCUCUUCAUCCUAGGUAAUAAUUAUAACUUCUAUAUUCCUUUAAGUCUAUCUCUUAGACUCAUUGACUGUAAGCAGUACUCGAUCGUGCACCUGCUCUCUACCUCAGGCUAGACUCCAAAUUAUGACCUUCAAGUCACAAUNUAUACAGUUUAAAUCAUUUAAAACAUGUAUAAAACGUUCAUCCAGCAUAGACAGCAAGUAUUCAGAUAAUAUGCACACAUAGCACGUAGUUUAUAUAAAAUACUUCAUAUCUAUGUGUAAGAUGAAAGGGACUAUGCACUCACAUGAAAGGUGGUGACUCAGCACUCGGACAGCGCUUCGAUACUCUCAAAACGAUUUUCCUUCAAUAAAACCUAGUACCAAUAUCACUAGGGUUUAGUCUAACGAUAACCGCGACAAAUUAAU